rnacentral:rRNA from 1 species
GGUUAAGCGACUAAGCGUACACGGUGGAUGCCCUGGCAGUCAGAGGCGAUGAAGGACGUGCUAAUCUGCGAAAAGCGUCGGUAAGGUGAUAUGAACCGUUAUAACCGGCGAUGUCCGAAUGGGGAAACCCAGUGCAAUUCGUUGCACUAUCGUUAACUGAAUACAUAGGUUAACGAGGCGAACCGGGGGAACUGAAACAUCUAAGUACCCCGAGGAAAAGAAAUCAACCGAGAUUCCCCCAGUAGCGGCGAGCGAACGGGGAGCAGCCCAGAGUCUGAAUCAGCUUGUGUGUUAGUGGAACGGUCUGGAAAGUCCGACGGUACAGGGUGAUAGUCCCGUACACCAAAAUGCACAGGUUGUGAACUCGAAGAGUAGGGCGGGACACGUGGUAUCCUGUCUGAAUAUGGGGGGACCAUCCUCCAAGGCUAAAUACUCCUGACUGACCGAUAGUGAACCAGUACCGUGAGGGAAAGGCGAAAAGAACCCCGGCGAGGGGAGUGAAAAAGAACCUGAAACCGUGUACGUACAAGCAGUGGGAGCACCUUCGGGUGUGACUGCGUACCUUUUGUAUAAUGGGUCAGCGACUUAUAUUCUGUAGCAAGGUUAACCGUAUAGGGGAGCCGCAGGGAAACCGAGUCUUAACUGGGCGUUAAGUUGCAGGGUAUAGACCCGAAACCCGGUGAUCUAGCCAUGGGCAGGUUGAAGGUUGGGUAACACUAACUGGAGGACCGAACCGACUAAUGUUGAAAAAUUAGCGGAUGACUUGUGGCUGGGGGUGAAAGGCCAAUCAAACCGGGAGAUAGCUGGUUCUCCCCGAAAGCUAUUUAGGUAGCGCCUCGUGAACUCAUCUUCGGGGGUAGAGCACUGUUUCGGCUAGGGGGUCAUCCCGACUUACCAACCCGAUGCAAACUACGAAUACCGAAGAAUGUUAUCACGGGAGACACACGGCGGGUGCUAACGUCCGUCGUGAAGAGGGAAACAACCCAGACCGCCAGCUAAGGUCCCAAAGUCAUGGUUAAGUGGGAAACGAUGUGGGAAGGCACAGACAGCCAGGAUGUUGGCUUAGAAGCAGCCAUCAUUUAAAGAAAGCGUAAUAGCUCACUGGUCGAGUCGGCCUGCGCGGAAGAUGUAACGGGGCUAAACCAUGCACCGAAGCUGCGGCAGCGACACUAUGUGUUGUUGGGUAGGGGAGCGUUCUGUAAGCCUGCGAAGGUGACCUGUGAGGGUUGCUGGAGGUAUCAGAAGUGCGAAUGCUGACAUAAGUAACGAUAAAGCGGGUGAAAAGCCCGCUCGCCGGAAGACCAAGGGUUCCUGUCCAACGUUAAUCGGGGCAGGGUGAGUCGACCCCUAAGGCGAGGCCGAAAGGCGUAGUCGAUGGGAAACAGGUUAAUAUUCCUGUACUUGGUGUUACUGCGAAGGGGGGACGGAGAAGGCUAUGUUAGCCGGGCGACGGUUGUCCCGGUUUAAGCAUGUAGGCUGGUU